rnacentral:tRNA from 1 species
ACACUGGUGGUUCAGUGGUAGAAUUCUCACCUCCCACGUGGGGGACCCAGGAUUGAUUCCCGGCCAAGGCA